UGCCUAAUACAUGCAAGUCGAACGGUAAGGCCCUUUCGGGGGUACACGAGUGGCGAACGGGUGAGUAACACGUGGGUGAUCUGCCCUGCACUUUGGGAUAAGCCUGGGAAACUGGGUCUAAUACCGAAUACACCUCGCUGGCUGCAUGGUUGGUGGGGGAAAGCUUUUGCGGUGUGGGAUGGGCCCGCGGCCUAUCAGCUUGUUGGUGGGGUGAUGGCCUACCAAGGCGACGACGGGUAGCCGGCCUGAGAGGGUGUCCGGCCACACUGGGACUGAGAUACGGCCCAGACUCCUACGGGAGGCAGCAGUGGGGAAUAUUGCACAAUGGGCGCAAGCCUGAUGCAGCGACGCCGCGUGAGGGAUGACGGCCUUCGGGUUGUAAACCUCUUUCAAUAGGGACGAAGCGCAAGUGACGGUACCUAUAGAAGAAGCACCGGCCAACUACGUGCCAGCAGCCGCGGUAAUACGUAGGGUGCGAGCGUUGUCCGGAAUUACUGGGCGUAAAGAGCUCGUAGGUGGUUUGUCGCGUUGUUCGUGAAAACCGGGGGCUUAACCCUCGGCGUGCGGGCGAUACGGGCAGACUGGAGUACUGCAGGGGAGACUGGAAUUCCUGGUGUAGCGGUGGAAUGCGCAGAUAUCAGGAGGAACACCGGUGGCGAAGGCGGGUCUCUGGGCAGUAACUGACGCUGAGGAGCGAAAGCGUGGGGAGCGAACAGGAUUAGAUACCCUGGUAGUCCACGCCGUAAACGGUGGGUACUAGGUGUGGGUUUCCUUCCUUGGGAUCCGUGCCGUAGCUAACGCAUUAAGUACCCCGCCUGGGGAGUACGGCCGCAAGGCUAAAACUCAAAGGAAUUGACGGGGGCCCGCACAAGCGGCGGAGCAUGUGGAUUAAUUCGAUGCAACGCGAAGAACCUUACCUGGGUUUGACAUACACUGGAAAGCCAUGGAGACAUGGCCUCCGCAAGGCCGGUGUACAGGUGGUGCAUGGCUGUCGUCAGCUCGUGUCGUGAGAUGUUGGGUUAAGUCCCGCAACGAGCGCAACCCUUGUCUCAUGUUGCCAGCGGGUUAUGCCGGGGACUCAUGAGAGGCUGCCGGGGUCAACUCGGAGGAAGGUGGGGACGACGUCAAGUCAUCAUGCCCCUUAUGUCCAGGGCUUCACACAUGCUACAAUGGCCGGUACAGAGGGCUGCUAAGCCGUGAGGUGGAGCGAAUCCCACAAAGCCGGUCUCAGUUCGGAUCGGGGUCUGCAACUCGACCCCGUGAAGUCGGAGUCGCUAGUAAUCGCAGAUCAGCAACGCUGCGGUGAAUACGUUCCCGGGCCUUGCACACACCGCCCGUCACA
rnacentral:rRNA from 1 species